GACAUUGUAACCCAAUUUGUGUUAGUGGGGAUAAAAGCUGUUAUAAUGGCGGAAUCUUGAAGAACAAUUUGUGGUGGCGGCGGAUACGGUGGUUCUUGUGGGGUUGGGUUGGAGUUAAAGAAAUACUUCCUCAUAAUGUUGUAUGUAAUUGUCAAUUUGACUAAAAGUUGAAAAGGGAAUUAGAAUUGGAAAAUUGAAACCAAUAUUUUGAGGUUUUGAUUUUCUGUGUAUUAAAAUUAGAUUCCAAUUACUCCUACCCUAAUUUCUAGAAAAAAGUAAGUUUUACAGAUGUGGGAUUCAUCAAGAUGAAAUUGAUGUCUAAUACUACAGUACUAGGG
rnacentral:misc_RNA from 1 species